GACGAACGCUGGCGGCGUGCUUAACACAUGCAAGUCGAACGGAAAGGCCCUGCUCUUGCGGGGUGCUCGUGUGGCGAACGGGUGAGUAACACGUGAGUAACCUGCCCUUGACUUUGGGAUAACACCAGGAAACUCGGGCUCAUACCGGAUAGGAGCUCCUGCUGCAUGGUGGGGGUUGGAAAGUGACGGCGGUGGGGGCUCGACUCGCGGGUUAUCCGCUGCAUUGGGGGGUAGGUGCUUACCAAGGCUUCGACGGGUAGCCGGCCUGAGAGGGUGACCGGCGACAUGGGGCCUGAGGGACGGCCCAGGAGGGAACGGGAGGCAGCGGUGGGGAGUAUUGCACAGUGGGCGGGAGCCUGAGGCGGCGGCGCCGCGUGCGGGAUGACGGGCUUCGGGUGGUAAACCGCUUUGGCCUGUGACGAGGCGUGAGUGACGGUAAUGGGUAAGGAAGCACCGGCUAACUACGUG
rnacentral:rRNA from 1 species